UACGAAGGGGGCGAGCGUUGUUCGGAUUUACUGGGCGUAAAGGGCGCGUAGGCUGCGGGGCAAGUCGGGUGUGAAAUCUCAGAGCUCAACUCUGAAACUGCACUCGAUACUGCUUUGCUUGAGGACUGGAGAGGAGAUUGGAAUUCACGGUGUAGCAGUGAAAUGCGUAGAUAUCGUAAGGAAGACCAGUGGCGAAGGCGGAUCUCUGGACAGUUCCUGACGCUGAGGCGCGAAGGCCAGGGGAGCAAACGGG
rnacentral:rRNA from 1 species